rnacentral:lncRNA from 1 species
AGAAGACACACAUGACCCAGACCCAAUAAGUAGAGUUUAAAUCUUCAAUGUGAUGCAGCCUCUAUACCUCCCAUCAGGUAGCCAGGGAGGACAACCACCCAAUGGAACGGCCAAGCAGAGCAAAUGCUGCUCCUGGAGGAAACCGGUCAGCGAGUCAAAAUGGUCAUCUCAGGGACAUGGGAGGAGAUACCGUAGCCCCCAAACUAGAGCAGAAGCCGGGGAAAGGAAACGGCAGAGAAGGCUGAGUGACGGGAGCUGGUGGAGCAGACUCAACUAGGAGGGACCCGGAGACUCCAGCCCUGGGCUGUGAUGUAGCAACAGCUCCAUGUCAUGUAGCUGGCAGGGCCAGAAUUCAAUUAGGAACCACCUGAGGACUCUAGCCCCAGGCUGAGACCCAGCAACCUCUCCACGGCACGCCAUGCCUUGCCAUGCAGCUGCCGGUGGCAUGGUUCAACCAGGAGCCACCUGGGGACUCUAGCCUCGCACCACGAUACAGCAACAGCAACAGCUCUGUGCCAUGCCAUUCAUCUGGCCAGGGGAAUGACUCAACCAAGUGCCCCCUGGUGCCUAUGGUGCCUGGCAGUCAGAUACCACUAUG